rnacentral:snoRNA from 1 species
CCCCUCUUAGGGUGGCACCUGGAGAGUUUCCAGUACUCUACCAGUCUUGGCUACGGGAGGGAGAGUCAGGUAGAGGCCUUCCUAUUCCAUUCCUAACCUGGCCAGUGGCUAGAGAGUGGAGGGUGAUCUGCUACAAGU